rnacentral:rRNA from 1 species
GCAAGUCGAACGAACAAGGCUGGAGCUUGCUUCAGCCGCGUGAGUGGCAAACGGGUGAGUAACACGUGGGAAUCUACCCAUCAGUACGGAAUAACAUUUGGAAACAAAUGCUAAUACCGUAUACUCUCUACGGAGGAAAGAUUUAUCGCUGAUGGAUGAGCCCGCGCAAGAUUAGGUAGUUGGUGGGGUAAUGGCCUACCAAGCCGACGAUCUUUAGCAGGUCUGAGAGGAUGAUC